rnacentral:rRNA from 1 species
GAUGAACGCUGGCGGCGUGCUUAACACAUGCAAGUCGAACGGUGAACACGGAGCUUGCUCUGUGGGAUCAGUGGCGAACGGGUGAGUAACACGUGAGCAACCUGCCCCUGACUCUGGGAUAAGCGCUGGAAACGGCGUCUAAUACUGGAUAUGUGACGUGACCGCAUGGUCUGCGUUUGGAAAGCUUUUUCGGUUGGGGAUGGGCUCGCGGCCUAUCAGCUUGUUGGUGAGGUAAUGGCUCACCAAGGCGUCGACGGGUAGCCGGCCUGAGAGGGUGACCGGCCACACUGGGACUGAGACACGGCCCAGACUCCUACGGGAGGCAGCAGUGGGGAAUAUUGCACAAUGGGCGCAAGCCUGAUGCAGCAACGCCGCGUGAGGGAUGACGGCCUUCGGGUUGUAAACCUCUUUUAGCAGGGAAGAAGCGAAAGUGACGGUACCUGCAGAAAAAGCGCCGGCUAACUACGUG